GACGAACGCUGGCGGCGUGCUUAACACAUGCCAGUCGAACGGAAAGGCCCUGCUUUUGUGGGGUGCUCGAGUGGCGAACGGGUGAGUAACACGUGAGUAACCUGCCCUUGACUUUGGGAUAACUUCAGGAAACUGGGGCUAAUACCGGAUAGGAGCUCCUGCUGCAUGGUGGGGGUUGGAAAGUUUCGGCGGUUGGGGAUGGACUCGCGGCUUAUCAGCUUGUUGGUGGGGUAGUGGCUUACCAAGGCUUUGACGGGUAGCCGGCCUGAGAGGGUGACCGGCCACAUUGGGACUGAGAUACGGACCAGACUCCAACGGGAGGCAGCAGUGGGGAAUAUUGCACAAUGGGCGGAAGCCGGAUGCAGCAACGCCGCGUGCGGGAUGACGGCCUUCGGGUUGUAAACCGCUUUCGCCUGUGACGAAGCGUGAGUGACGGUAAUGGGUAAAGAAGCACCGGCUAACUACGUG
rnacentral:rRNA from 1 species